AGCGUUGCCGGCCUUUAAGGAAGGUGUACGCGCUUUUUUUGAAGGUACCCAUUUCGUAUCGUCCCGGAAACACCGCACAAGGAAGCUCAUUCCACAGCUUUGUAGUACGUGGAAGAAAGCUCCUUGAAAACCGCACUGUGGAGGACCGCCACACAUUCAGAUGGUGGGGAUGAUAACACCUUUAAACAGCUAAAUAUGUCGUGCAUUCAGUGAAUAGGUUUAUGGUUUAAAGCGUUUGACAUUGACACCUGUCAAUGUCUUACGAUUUAUGAUGAAUAAGCUACCUCUCAGUGUACUACAGCACUCACGAUUCAAGCUUACUAAAUAUCACAAUAAUAUGCAAAAUGCCUAAGCAUUUAUACAUCUAGAAUCUAGAUAGACUGUGACACUUGUGAAAAAAUCGAAAAUAAUUGAGGUUGACAGUUAACCUCUAUUUUGAGACACUAACACAAAGUGACAUAGCGAGUGUAAGACGUGGCUAUUCACACAAAGAAAAACUAAACACUAAACUGUCACUACGCACUAAAGUAAUAAACUUGGCCUGUUUUCAUCGGUUGUCUAGGAGCAAGAGGCUCUAUCGAGACAUAUAAAUUAUCUAAUGCAAAAUAUAUAUAUUUGGCUUAAAUUAGCCACUAUUAAAUAGUAAUUGUAAAAUUUUAAUUGAGUUCUUCGUUUCUUAAUAUUUAAUACUAGCGAGAUAUAUCUUAACCAUUCUGUCAAAUGUCUACUAUGGCAGCGCCUGCGACGUCUGGGAUGUUAUCAUGACAAUUGUAUACAUAAUAUUGCAUAUUCCAUUAAAUAAUUUAUUUCUAUAUUAUAUUAUUAUGGAUUAUAUUAUCAAAUGACUCAUAUCUGCUUAGAUAUUGUUAAUAUAAGUGUCACAGUUGCCAUUUAAAUUAUGUACUUUAUGUCAUACCAUUAUAGAGUCUAUUUUGAUUGCUGUGUUUUAUAUUCGUAUUAAUCUCCUUAAUAUUAGUAAAAAUUUGCCAUAUUUUUAACAGCCUUUAGGAGCAUAGAUUUGUUUUUAUACGUUUUUUACAUUGUGUUGUUUUCGAUGCAUCCAUAGUUUAUAUAAGUUCAAAUGUACAGUUGGAUUGUUAUCAAUUUUGAUAUUGUAUCUCGUGUUGUAUGUAUGUAUGUCUAUCAUAAUACAGAAACCAAGGAAUCUCAAGUUAUGUGAAGAAUUGAUAAAAAUAUAAAGCAUUUUUUCAAGUAGUAUUUCAAGAUACAUGUCAUAUUUUGUAUAUUAUAUAUUGUGGCUACAGCAGUAUAUACAUAUAUAUGUAGUCUAUGUUUCUUAGCUAAUGUCGUGACUAUAACUAUGCGUAAAGAAUGAUAUUUUGAAUUAUGUAACACAUAAAGUAAUAUGUAAGUUUAAACCCCGCUUCCUUGUAACCAAAUUAUUGUGAUUGUUCUAAUUUGAUGUAAUUUAUUUCCCUUAAUUAUUAUGCUAUUAAUAUAUUCCCAAGUUCAGUGUCUAUAACAUUAAAUAAUUGAAAAUAAUGAAAAGGAGAUGUUGGAUUCAGUGUAUCAAUAUAUAUAUUAUAUAUCCUCGCUUAUCUUGCUGUAAUUAACUGUAUAACAAUAUGGUCAAUAAAUGUCCCAUAUUUAAGUAUAGAUAAUACAGUCUUAUAUGUAAUUUUGUAUCGCUAGCUGUUGUGAAUAAGAUUUAUUUACAUUGACAUAAAUAUAUAGUAUAGCAUAUUGUCGUGGAAGCUGGUAUAUAGUAGGAACACUGUAAUAUGUGACAAAACUAUUGUUGUUCUCAUUUCUAAGAGUAUUAUCUAGUCUGCAUUAAAGUUAAGAAUAAAUUGAAUAAA